CGAUUAGAGUUUGAUCCUGGCUCAGAUUGAACGCUGGCGGCAUGCUUUACACAUGCAAGUCGAACGGUAACAGGCCUUCGGGCGCUGACGAGUGGCGAACGGGUGAGUAAUGCAUCGGAACGAGCCCGGUCGUGGGGGAUAACUAUCCGAAAGGAUAGCUAAUACCGCAUACGAUCUGCGGAUGAAAGCGGGGGACCUUCGGGCCUCGCGCGAUUGGAGCGGCCGAUGUCAGAUUAGGUAGUUGGUGGGGUAAAGGCUCACCAAGCCAACGAUCUGUAGCUGGUCUGAGAGGACGACCAGCCACACUGGGACUGAGACACGGCCCAGACUCCUACGGGAGGCAGCAGUGGGGAAUUUUGGACAAUGGGCGCAAGCCUGAUCCAGCAAUGCCGCGUGCAGGAAGAAGGCCUUCGGGUUGUAACUGCUUUUGUACGGAACGAAACGGCUCUGGUUAUACCCGGGGCUAAUGACGGUACCGUAAGAAUAAGCACCGGCUAACUACGUGCCAGCAGCCGCGGUAAACGUAGGGUGCAAGCGUUAAUCGGAAUUACUGGGCGUAAGCGUGCGCAGGCGGUUUGUAGACGGCGUGAAUCCCCGGCUCACCUGGGAUGGCGUUGUGACUGCAAACUGGAGUGCGGAGAGGGGAUGGAAUUCCCGUGUACCGUGAAUGCGUAAUAUGCGGAGAACCCGAUGGCGAAGCAU
rnacentral:rRNA from 1 species